rnacentral:snoRNA from 1 species
GGCCGGUGAUGUGGUGCUUGUAUUUGCUACUCUUGAUGGGAGAAACCCCAUCUGAUGAUGUUUAACCACCAAGAUCUCUGAGGCC